rnacentral:tRNA from 1 species
GGGCGGUUAGCGCAAUUGGUUAGAGCAACUGGUCUACACCCAGUAGGUUGGGGGUUCGAGUCCCUCAUCGCCCACCA